ACUUCUGCUUUUCACACAAGUGCUAAGGGGUGGGGUUGGGAGAGGGAGAAGUGCCAAUUUGAAUAAAAUAUUUGGGGGGGGAGAGAAAUAGGUCACAUGAUGCGGUGCACGCACCCUAUUUGAAUGACAAUGCCCAUCAACUUUGGGGGGUCCUGGCCCUCUCAAAUAUUUUAGGGGGUGCGCGAAGGGAACUCUGCCCCCAGGAGUUGGCUCCUAGGGUGAGAGGUUCCUUAUGCCCCCCUACAUCAGGUGUGGGGUAUCUGUGGUCCUUGAGAUGUUGCUGAACUACAAUUUCCAUCAUCUCUGGCCAUUGGUGAGAGGUUCCUUAUCUGGACCUCCUGUGUUUUUAAUAGGAACUGGACGCAGAACAGAAGGGAGGCAUUUGGUGGUUUAUCAAAUGUUUGCCCGAACCUCUUUCCUGGGUUACUUCUACUGUGCACAACAUGCAUAAAUGUAAGAAACAUUCAUAACAAAUAUAAGUCUUAACAUGCGGAAUGCUGCUGAAAAUGGCAGUUGGUGUCAAAUAGGACUUUAGCAAGUGGGGCUUGCUAAAAAAACGACCUUCCAAGACAUUUGUAGCGGCCAGGUGGGCCAAAUUAGGCCCAUGGGCCGGAGAUUCCCCUAUGCUGCCAUAGCUCACAACCAGUGACAUCCUACCCUAUUGUGACUGAAUGUGCAGGCAAGUUAGGUAGUACUUCAGGUGGAAUCCCCAUGCCUUCCAACAACCACAUUGUGGGCAUAUGUUCAGCAGGUGCCAUUUUUCCUGACAUGGAGAUGCAGGGAUGGGGCCACUGCACCAAAUGAAUUUCUGUAUGCCAUGUAGAUAUUAAAGUUACAGGAAGAUUGCAAUCGAAAGGUAGCAAGUUUGGGAGUAUUUCAUUUCUAAAAUAAAACAUGGAUACCUCUCCUCCUAAAUCCCAGAUGUAUGGAAGCUGAGUGCAGUUAUUUAGUAACAUAAGGAAAAUGUUCCCUGCCCAUGUUCUACAUUAUUAUUAUUUAUUACAUUUGGAUACCACCCUUUAGCUGUAGAUCUCCGAGAAGUUCCCAACACAAAACUACAAUAUAAAAACCCCCACAAAAUACAUAAUAAAAACAGAAACAACCCAAUAAUCACCUCUUCCACAACACAUCCAAAAGGGCAUUGGAUGACAAUCAGCCCAAGGCCUGGUUGAAGGUGAACAUUUUUGCCUGGUGCCUAAAGGCAAUGUAAGAGAGAGCAGUCCAUAACUGGGGAGCCACUGCAGAAAAGGCCAAUUCUUGUUUUGCCUCGUCAUCAUUACUCCCGGAGGCCAGGAACUGGAACUGAUAAUAGUUUCUAGCUAGGGUUGCCAUAUGUCCACUUUUUCCAGGACACAUUCUCUUUUUCAUGAUGAGAGUCAUAGAGAUCCAUAGUUAAAAGUAUAAGUCGGCAAAUGUGUCUUCUUUUUUGCUCUUCAAAAUAUGGCAACCCUAUCUAGCUCAAGAGAGCAUAAUGAAGGAAUGUUAUGCAGAGUUUCACUUUUAUCCAUGAAAGUUUAAGGCAUGAAAGACUGCUUGGGACUGAGGCCUCUUUUUUCUUCCAAACUGAAGUUUAUUUUCUAACAGAAGCCAUGAUUUUAUAUUUCCACACGCAUCUAUAAUCCCAAGACUUAUAGCUAAAUUAAAUCAUAUCUCUCCCUAAAUAAAGACGUUGAAGUAUAGACAUGAUGGUACAGCAUGCAUUCAGAAUCUCACUGAGGUCAACAUUAGGCACAUAGAUAAUAACACAUUUGCUUAGUGAAAACUAUAGCUUACCAGAGACUCACUUAUAACUUGUAGAGUUGCUACUGUUAAGAAUUGCAUGAGAGGCAGAAAUCAACAGAUGUAUCUUUUUCCAUCCAUAUAUCCAUGCCAGGAAGGACUUUAUGUAUUGAUUUCUGCCUGCCUAUAGUAACUUAAGGUUAGGGAAAUUCUUUUCCAUAAAAAGACAGUAGUUCUAAAUACCUCAAGGACCACCUCUCACAAUGUGAACAGACCCAGACCCUGCGCUCCUUCUCUGAGGCCCUUCUUUGGGUGCCUUCUCCACAAGAGGUGUGCAGGGUGGCAACACAAGAACAGUCCUUUUGUGCGGUGACUUCCCAUUUGUGGAAUGCUGUCCCCAGGGAGGUGUGCCUGGCACCAUCAUUAUAUAUCUUUAGAUACCAGGCCUUUGGCUUUUGACUAUCUGUGGCUUUUAAAAGUGAUUGGGAUGUGUUUAAUGCUUUUAUCUUUUCCCUUGGUUUUAAUGUAUGUGAGAUUUAUUGUAUGUGUGUUUGGUUGUAAAUUGUUUUGGGUUGCCCUAGGCAAGAUAAAGCAACUGAGAAAAUAAAUAAUAAAUAAAUAAAUAAAUAAAUAAAGAAUGAAUGAAUGAAUAAAGGCAACUUCACAUAAAGCAGAAAAUAGCAACACACAUAAUCAUAUUUACUUGCAAUUUAUUUUUUUACCUGCAAACUCUAUAUUGAUUAAAUAAUAAAUAUGCACAGAUAGAGUUGUAUGAUACAGUUUGUUUAUGACACUAUUAAGUUAAUUCCAUCAGACUAUUGUAAUGAUCAAACUGUUUGUUUUGACUACUUGAUGACCAGGUUUCCUUUUUGUGGUAUGGUUUAGCAUAAAUGUUAAAGUGCAUCAUAACAACAGGCUUCAAAGCUCUGUGUUGCUAAGUCCUUUUUUUUUGUUUUUUGCUCCCACAUCGUGCAAGUCUUUAAGGUUCCACCGUGCCCUUCGUUGUUUUUGCUAAAAUGGACUGACAUGGCUAUGCUUCUGGGAAAUGUGCAGGCUUGAUUACUGUAAACCAAAGUGUGACAGCUACAAGUUUCAUGAAUUCCCAACAAGCUGCUGCUCUAAAGUAAAAAAUAAGGAUUCAUCUGAGACAGUAAGUUGCAGACGUACAAAAAUGUUGGCAAGCUAGGAAACUGCAAAUCCUGCUCCACAGCAAAGCAUUCCUUAAAUGUGUGACAAGGUAAAAGGAGUGAAAUGAUUAAUCUGCACAUCUCGCAUGCAGUAUUCACCAAAAGAGAUGUUAUUGUUCCCAAAUGCCCGUUAAAAUCAAAGAUAACUCUGGACUGCUUACCAUCGUUAUUUUCAUGAUGACUCCAUUUUAAGUUGUAGUAAUUCUUCCUUGUGAAAGAUAUAAUGCUGAUAUUGAACUCACCUUCUAAUCAGUGUUACAAGAACCCAAAGAAUGUACAGUCUUCAACACCGGUAAGUUUCUACAACUGUCAAAGCCACUACUUGUGGAGGGUGUGUGUGUUUGUGGGAUUACAUUAUAAUGCAUAUUACUGUACAAAUUAUUACACUUAUUCAAUUACCAUAGUCACUCGAAUCUAAUGUGCCAUCGAAUCUAAUGCACACCUCAAUUUUCAUAACUUUGAAACAAAACAAAAUUAUUUGCUGGUGAACGUAAAUGUGGCAUUGAAUCUAAUACACACCUUAAUUUUUGCAAUGUAAUUUGGCCAAAAAAAGUGAGCAUUAGAUUCGAGUAAAUACAGUAUUAAUGAUAUACUUUUGCUCCUAUUUAAGGACUUCUUUAAAACAAUUCAAUGUCACAUUUACUCUUACUGUUAUUCAGAAAGCAACUGCAUACCAAGAGAUUAGUCAUCAUCUUUCAGUGGUCUCUGAAUCUGCUGCAUACAUUUAAUCAUAAUCAUAAGAAAUAGUAGGUAAAGCAGAAUAGGGUUCAUAUGAUUUUUAUUAAGUGGUCACGAGAACACCAUAGUCACUGUCAAAAUAGCAUCUUUAGCAUGCACUCUCUGACUAUACCAGAAAGGUCCUGGAUUGCAAUUUACUGAUAGGGAAUUAAGGGUUAUGGAUCUCUUGGGGGAAAACAAAUAAAUGGGAUUUCAGUGUAUCAGGAGAAAGCUGCUAGAAUCACAGAGAGAGCUGCCCUGUGUGGUGAGCAAGUGACCUGUCAAAUGGCAGCUUUCGGUGAGGUACCCUCUGGUCCUGUACUGAGUCUCCCCACUCAGGCUAGCCAUUGGAUCCUUCUGGACAGGAGGGAAAAUUAGAUUCCUACUUGAGGAAUGAAGUCUUUCUGAAUGGCAGAAUAUUAUUGUAUCCUUAGCCCUGUCUCCCAGUUUGUCCUUUGCUUCUGCACCGUAGUUGGUCUUUUAGUUCUUGCUAACUUUAUUUCUCUUUACUCCUAGCUUCUGGAAUGUCCCACAACUCUUAGUUCCUAGCUCACUUCAGAUGGUUGCCCAUACUAACAGAUUCCUCUAUUUGAUGACAUGCACAGGAUUCCCAGCUGGUCUCCUGUCUUCUCAGUGACCCAGACCUUCAGCAAGGCUGCUACAGGAUGUUUCUUCAGGUGCUGGAGAGAUUCAUCAAAGAAGAGGCCCAACCCCCUUUUCCUAAACUGCUACUUAUCCAAAUUGACAACAUUUCCACCACUUACCCUUGGAUAAUUCUUUAUUCCACAUAUCUGCUUUGCCACAUGUCACCAGGAACAGGAAAACAUGGCCAAGAACUGACAAUGUGAGGCACAGAUUUAUUUAUUUUUAAAGGAGGAGGAGAGGGUAAAUAAAAGUAGCAUCAUUAUUGUCUAAAGCCAUCAGCAUAAAGCAGCAGGAGAAUUAGCAUGAAUUAACAAGUUCUCCUAGGAUAUAGUGUAUAGAUAGUAGGAGUUGCCAACCUUUGUUGGCACAUUUGGAAUUUUGGAAAAGUGCCGUGGGUACCAAUAACAUGGAUGCUGUGGGGUGUGUGGCAUAAUACAAAACGAUGGCUGUGGGAGAGUAACAUUAAUACACAAUGGCUGCCGUGGAUCAUGACACAACACAAAAUGGCUGCCACAUCCAAGAGAGCGGAAAAAGAGGCAGGACCACAGAAUGAUGGGAGCAUGCCACCCUCAGCCCCUUCCCCACCAAUGGGAAAAGUCUCCUACAUCAUCUACCACCACACUCUCCUAAAGAAGCUCUUUGUCCCUCUCUUCUGUUCAUAGUGGAAAGAGGGUAGGUGCCCAGGCCCGGCAUCCAAUGAAACCUGGUCUUGUUAAGGGGUGUGUUCAAUAUGGGAGAGGCCAAGACAGUGGAAACAGGAAGACCAAUCUGUUUCUUGUGCAUUGUGGAUUUUUGAGUGGAUAUUUACUGAGACCUUUUGCAGGUGCCAUAGGAGGUACUGUUGUGCAUGGGUGCUGCAUUGGCAGUCCCUGGAAGGUACUGUAAGGCUGGGAAAUCUCAUGACUGGAGAUCAAAUGUGGCCCUCCAGGUCUCUCUGUCAAGCCUUUGGGAUUCUUCCCACACCAUACUUCCUACCUCAUCUACCCUGCAAUACCCUCCUUACUGGCCCUGCAAUACCCUCCUCAGUACUUUUGCCUGGAUGAAAUGUGUCCCUGAAUAAUGCCACUUUCUUGUCUGGCUGGAGGGUGGAAAUGUGAGUGUAGAAACCACUGACGUCUGUAUAGAUUGUAACCUACUGCACAGAGACCACAUCUGUUGUCUUGCCCACUUUUUGCCUCUGGCCUCACCCACUGCUCCAAAGCUUGCCCAUGAGGGAACACUGCCUUUAAGCUGAGAUGUUUUCCUCAUUCCUGGAGCAGAGAUAGAUCAAGUAGUGGGCUAUCAAUCAUUGCAGCUUCAUGGACUCCUUCAGGGAAGAGGUGUCCAAAGAGGGAAGAAGAUACCUUAGAGGAGAUUGAUGGGUUUAUUGUCUUAGAUCAGACAUAGGCAAACUCUGGCCCUCCAGAUGUUUGGGACUACAAUUCCCAUCAUCCCUGACCACUGGUC